rnacentral:ncRNA from 1 species
CACCACUUGGUGAAAAUAUUUUGCGUCGUGGUACGGCUUAGUAGGCCGCAAGGCUCGAAACGCCGUAAAGCAAAAAAGGAG